CACAUUGGGACUGAGACACGGCCCCAUACUCCGUACGGGAGGCUGCAGUAGGGAAUCUUCCACAAUGGACGCAAGUCUGAUGGAGCACNGCCGCGUGAGUGAAGAAGGUCUUCGGAUCGUAAAGCUCUGUUGUUGGAGAAGAACACAAGUGAGAGUAACUGUUCAUUGGAUGACGGUAUNUAACCAGCAAGNCCACGGCUAACUACGUGCCAGCAGCCGCGGUAAUACGUAGGUGACAAAAAUUGUCCGGAUUUAUUGGGCGUAAAGGGAGCGCAGGCGGUCUUUUAAGUCUGAUGUGAAAGCCUUCGGCUUAACCG
rnacentral:rRNA from 2 species